GAUGAACGCUGGCGGCGUGCUUAACACAUGCAAGUCGAACGGGAAACUUUUCAUUGAAGCUUCGGCAGAUUUGGUCUGUUUCUAGUGGCGGACGGGUGAGUAACGCGUGGGUAACCUGCCUUAUACAGGGGGAUAACAACCAGAAAUGGUUGCUAAUACCGCAUAAGCGCACAGGACCGCAUGGUCCGGUGUGAAAAACUCCGGUGGUAUAAGAUGGACCCGCGUUGGAUUAGCUAGUUGGCAGGGUAACGGCCUACCAAGGCGACGAUCCAUAGCCGGCCUGAGAGGGUGAACGGCCACAUUGGGACUGAGACACGGCCCAGACUCCUACGGGAGGCAGCAGUGGGGAAUAUUGCACAAUGGGGGAAACCCUGAUGCAGCGACGCCGCGUGAAGGAAGAAGUAUCUCGGUAUGUAAACUUCUAUCAGCAGGGAAGAUAGUGACGGUACCUGACUAAGAAGCCCCGGCUAACCACGUGCCAGCAGCCGCCGUAG
rnacentral:rRNA from 1 species